rnacentral:misc_RNA from 1 species
UCAAACUUGGUCAUUUAGAGGAAGUAAAAGUCGUAACAAGGUCUCCGUUGGUGAACCAGCGGAGGGAUCAUUGCCGAGCUCGGGCUCCGGACAGCGCGGACCAUACCUCUUCCAUCCUGCGCCUCGGCGGGGGGCCCCCAGGGGGGGGGGCCGCGGGGGACCCGCCGGCGGCCACACAUCCUCUACAGACGUACCGACCCCCUCAGAAGACCGCUCCGAUACAACUUUCAACAAUGGAUCUCUUGGCUCUGGCAUCGAUGAAGAACGCAGC